CCUACGGGAGGCAGCAGUGGGGAAUAUUGGACAAUGGGCGAAAGCCUGAUCCAGCAAUGCCGCGUGAGUGAUGAAGGCCUUAGGGUUGUAAAGCUCUUUUACCCGGGAUGAUAAUGACAGUACCGGGAGAAUAAGCUCCGGCUAACUCCGUGCCAGCAGCCGCGGUAAUACGGAGGGAGCUAGCGUUAUUCGGAAUUACUGGGCGUAAAGCGCACGUAGGCGGCUUUGUAAGUAAGAGGUGAAAGCCUGGUGCUCAACACCAGAACUGCCUUUUAGACUGCAUCGCUUGAAUCCAGGAGAGGUGAGUGGAAUUCCGAGUGUAGAGGUGAAAUUCGUAGAUAUUCGGAAGAACACCAGUGGCGAAGGCGGCUCACUGGACUGGUAUUGACGCUGAGGCGCGAAAGCGUGGGGAGCAAACAGGAUUAGAUACCCUGGUAGUCCACGCCGUAAACGAUGAUAACUAGCUGUCGGGGCUCUUAGAGCUUCGGUGGCGCAGCUAACGCAUUAAGUUAUCCGCCUGGGGAGUACGGCCGCAAGGUUAAAACUUAAAAUGAAUUGACGG
rnacentral:rRNA from 1 species